rnacentral:lncRNA from 1 species
GCACUUGGUGUUCAUUUGGAGCCCCUUUUUAGUUUCUUCUAUAAGAAGUGGCUAGUGGAGGUUAGGAUUUCUGGAUGGUAACAUGGAAGGAUAAAAGGGGACAAAACUAAAGAGUUGGGAGAGGUUAGUCUCCCUAGGGUUUUCAAAAUAAUAUCUUAAAUCUUUCAAAUUUCUUCUAUUUUGUGCGGAUUUUCUUCAUAGAAUUUUGGGAGAGGAGAUGUAGUAUUUAUAGGGAGUGGGUGAGGGCUUUUAUAGCUUGGAUUUAGUGAGGAUUGAGGUUGCAUUAAAUCUAAGGAUUAGAAGCAAGGGAUCGAGUGGCUUGUUCUUACUAGCUAUUAGUUUGAGGAGAAAUUGAUUAUUAGGAUUUGACGCUUCGAGAUUCAGCCCACAUUGAGCCCACAGCG